rnacentral:rRNA from 1 species
ACCAAAAACCUAGCCCCACUACAAUCUAAUGAACUACAAAAACUAACUCAACUAACCAAAACAUUUUUAUAUUUUAGUAAAGGCGAUUAAAAAAAUUCUAUGGAGCUAUAAUGACAGUACCGCAAGGGAAAAGUGAAAUAAUAAUGAAAUAAUUUUAAGUACACUAAAGUAGAGAUUUAACCUCGUACCUUUUGCAUCAUGGUUUAACUAGUCAAAUCAAGCGAAACGACUUACAGUCUGACCUCCCGAAACUAAGCGAGCUACUUCAGGGCAGCUUAUUGAGCAAACCCGUCUCUGUUGCAAAAGAGUGGGAAGACCCUCAAGUAGCGGUGAUAGACCUAACGAGCUUAGUGAUAGCUGGUUAUUCAAGAAAAGGAUUUUAGUCCAGCCUAAAGAACUAUUAAUAAUCUUAAUAUAACAACUACUUUAGAGUAAUUCAAAUAAGGUACAGCCUAUUUGAAACAGGAUACAACCUCGAUCAAAGGGUAAUUAUACGUUUUAACAACCAAGUAGGCCCAAAAGCAGCCAUCUUUAAAAUAGCGUCAAAGCUUAAUUGUUUAUACUACUAAUACCAAAAAUAACUUAGAACCCUUCACUACUAUUGAAUAAUUCUAUAUAUUUAUAGAACAUUUUAUGUUAAAACUAGUAACAAGAAGAAGACCUUCUCUUAAAUGUAAAUGUAAGUCAAAAAGGACUAACCAGUGACUAUUAACACCAAUGAACAAAAAUUAACAACUCACAAGAAAACCUUACUUUUUAUUAUGUUAACCUAACACAAGAACAUUUCAAGAAAGAUUAAAAGAAAAAGAAGGAACUCGGCAAAAAUUAACCUCGCCUGUUUACCAAAAACAUCGCCUCUUGAGUAUACUUAUAAGAGGUCCAGCCUGCCCAGUGACUCUGUUCAACGGCCGCGGUAUCCUAACCGUGCGAAGGUAGCGUAAUCACUUGUUCUUUAAAUAAGGACUAGUAUGAAUGGCACCACGAAGGUUACACUGUCUCCUUUCUCUAAUCAGUGAAACUAAUCUCCCCGUGAAGAAGCGGGGAUUUAAGUAUAAGACGAGAAGACCCUAUGGAGCUUUAAACUAAAUAACACUUGCUCUUAUAUUCCUAUAUUUGAGAAUACUAACACCUAUUUUAGCUUUAUGAUUUUUAGUUUUAGGUUGGGGUGACCGCGGAGCAAAACAAAACCUCCACAUUGAAUGGGGUUUCACACCCUGAGCAACGAGCUACAACUCUACGCACCAAUAAAUUGACAUAAAUUGACCCAAUAUUUUGAUCAACGAACCAAGUUACCCUAGGGAUAACAGCGCAAUCCGCUUCAAGAGCUCCUAUCGACAAGCGGGUUUACGACCUCGAUGUUGGAUCAGGGUAUCCCAGUGGUGUAGCCGCUACUAAAGGUUCGUUUGUUCAACGAUCAAAACCCU